rnacentral:rRNA from 1 species
AACGAACGCUGGCGGCAUGCCUAACACAUGCAAGUCGAACGAGACCUUCGGGUCUAUUGGCGCACGGGUGCGUAACGCGUGGGAACCUGCCCUUAGGUUCGGAAUAACUCCCCGAAAGGGGUGCUAAUACCGGAUCAUGUCUUCGGACCAAAGAUUUAUUGCCUUUGGAUGGGCCCGCGUUGGAUUAGCUAGUUGGUAGGGUAAAAGCCUACCAAGGCGACGAUCCAUAGCUGGUCUGAGAGGAUGAUCAGCCACACUGGGACUGAGACACGGCCCAGACUCCUACGGGAGGCAGCAGUGGGGAAUAUUGGACAAUGGGCGAAAGCCUGAUCCAGCAAUGCCGCGUGAGUGAUGAAGGACUUAGGGUUGUAAAGCUCUUUUACCCGGGAUGAUAAUGACAGUACCGGGAGAAUAAGCUCCGGCUAACUCCGU